rnacentral:rRNA from 1 species
AUCCAGACUCCUACGGGAGGCAGCAGUGAGGAAUAUUGGUCAAUGGGCGGGAGCCUGAACCAGCCAAGUCGCGUGAGGGAAGACGGUCCUACGGAUUGUAAACCUCUUUUGCCGGGGAGCAACGGGGUCCUUGCGAGGGCCCGAUGAGAGUACCCGGAGAAAAAGCAUCGGCUAACUCCGUGCCAGCAGCCGCGGUAAUACGGAGGAUGCGAGCGUUAUCCGGAUUUAUUGGGUUUAAAGGGUGCGCAGGCGGCACGGCAAGCCGGCGGUCAAAUCGCGGGGCUCAACCCCGUCCGGCCGUUGAAACUGGGGGCCUUGAGUGGGCGAGAAGAAGGCGGAAUGCGUGGUGUAGCGGUGAAAUGCAUAGAUAUCACGCAGAACCCCGAUUGCGAAGGCAGCCUUCCGGCGCCCUACUGACGCUGAGGCACGAAAGUGCGGGGAUCGAACAGGAUUAGAUACCCCUGUA